GUUUUUGAGAGAGGGCGCCAAACAAAGUCCAAAAGGCGGCACAUAACAUACAAAACAACACACCCUCCCCUGGCCGGCCAUGUGACUUCCACCUGACCUCACCAAUUUCUCUCUCUAACCAAACCCAAACCCUCUCUGCCUCGAGCUGAAGCCCGCAUCCAGCUCUUCCUCUAUGUUUUCUACUUCUAGUAGGUCCCACCGGUCAUCGGCAAUCUCGCCGUUUCGCUCCCGCAAGUCACCUGCGCAGCCGCCGCCUCCAGCAGCCCCGAAAUCCACGGGUCGGCCGUCAACUCCUUCGUCAACGACGACGUCUAGGCCUCCCUCGAGGCUUUCGGGCAUUCCUGUUAGUGCAGGUCCAAGCCCGACGGCUCAGGCCCUCGAUCGCCCUGAAACCAGCAAGUCUAAGGAAAAUGUGACUGUAACUGUCAGGUUCCGUCCACUGAGUGCUAGGGAGAUAAAUAAAGGGGACGAGAUUGCGUGGUAUGCAGAUGGGGAUUAUACAGUGAGGAACGAGUACAAUGCUUCAAUUGCUUACGGUUUUGAUAGAGUGUUUGGUCCUGCUACUACAACUCGUCAUGUUUAUGAUGUUGCUGCACAGCAUGUUGUUAGUGGUGCCAUGCAAGGGAUCAAUGGUACUGUGUUUGCAUAUGGUGUCACUAGUAGUGGGAAAACUCAUACAAUGCAUGGAGAGCAAAAGUCACCUGGGAUUAUUCCAUUGGCAGUAAAAGAUGUGUUUGGAAUUAUACAAGAGACACCUGGACGGGAAUUUCUUCUUCGUGUUUCAUAUUUAGAAAUCUAUAAUGAGGUCAUCAAUGAUUUACUUGAUCCAACUGGUCAAAACCUAAGAAUACGAGAGGACACACAGGGAACUUACGUUGAGGGAAUCAAAGAAGAAGUUGUUUUAUCACCUGCACAUGCUCUUUCUUUGAUAGCAUCUGGAGAAGAGCAUAGGCAUGUUGGUUCUAAUAAUUUCAAUCUCCUCAGCAGUCGCAGCCACACUAUAUUCACCUUGACUAUUGAAAGCAGUCCACGUGGAGAAAAUCAAGGGGAAGAAGAUGUAACCUUGUCUCAGUUGAACUUAAUUGAUCUUGCUGGAUCUGAAAGUUCAAAAACUGAAACAACUGGAUUGCGGAGAAAAGAGGGUUCAUACAUAAACAAAAGCUUACUCACUCUUGGCACAGUGAUCUCUAAACUAACAGAUGGAAAAUCAACUCAUAUUCCAUACCGGGAUUCAAAACUAACACGUCUAUUGCAGUCAUCCCUCAGUGGUCAUGGGCGGAUCUCUCUUAUUUGCACUGUGACACCUGCCUCUAGCAAUAGUGAAGAGACACACAACACAUUGAAGUUUGCACACAGAAGCAAGCAUGUGGAAAUCAAGGCUUCUCAGAAUAAGAUUAUGGAUGAGAAGUCUCUCAUAAAGAAGUAUCAGAAGGAAAUUUCCUCCUUAAAGCUAGAACUUCAGCAAUUAAAGCGUGGAAUAAUGGAAAAUCCUUAUAUGGCUGCAUCCACCCAAGAAGAUUUGGUUAAUUUGAAGCUUCAGUUGGAAGCUGGUCAGGUCAAGUUACAGUCAAGAUUGGAAGAAGAGGAACAAGCCAAGGCAGCUUUAAUGGGAAGAAUUCAACGAUUGACAAAACUUAUCUUGGUUUCCACCAAGAAUUCAAUGCAAUCAAGCCUUCCAGAAAGGCCUGGUCACAGACGAAGACAUUCUUUUGGGGAAGAUGAGCUGGCAUAUUUACCAGAUAGGAAACGAGAAUAUAUGACAGAAGAAGAUGUUGGAAGCCAUGCUUCUGAGCUUUCAGCUGAAAGGGGCGAUGAUAUUACCAAUCUGGAUGAGCUGGUGAAUGAUUACAAAAGAAACAGGAGACGAGGGAUGCUUGGCUGGUUUAAACUAAGAAAGCCUGAAAAUCUGCUUAGGUCAUCACCAAGUGCUGAUAGCGAGAGCUCUGCAAGUGGAUCACCAGCUUCUUGUUCUAAAUCAUCACAAAAUAGAGCCAUGUUUAGUGAUUCAAAAGAUGGACGAAGAAGAUCAAUAAGCAGAAGAGGAGAUGAUUCUGUCCUCAUUGACUCAUUUCUGGAAAGAACCCAAGCAGGAGAUUUGUUUAGUGCCACUGUUGGCGGUCAAUUGCCUCCGACUGGGACAACAAUCACCGAUCAAAUGGACCUGCUUCGUGAGCAGGUGAAAAUGUUAGCUGGGGAUGUGGCACUGUGUACUAGUUCUCUGAAAAGAUUGUCAGAGCAAGCUACUAGCAAUCCUGAAGAUUCUCAACUGAAGGAACAAGUGCAGAAGUUAAAAUAUGAAAUUAGUGAAAAGAAGCGUCAGAUGCAUGUUCUGGAGCAACGCAUGAUUGGAUCAGUUGAGAUGACUCCACAUUACUCGAGCAGCACUGGUUUGUCGCCGGCUCUAUCCAAGCUUACAUCGCAGCUGAAUGAAAAAACUUUUGAACUUGAGAUUAAAUCUGCAGAUAACAGGGUACUUCAGGAGCAAUUGCAGAUGAAGAUAGCAGAAAAUAAUGAGAUGCAAGAGACAAUUCUUCUUCUGAGGCAGCAGCUGAAUUCAUUAUUGGGUAACAGUCAACCACAAAUUACUGAAUCCGACAUGCAUAAAACAUGUUCUAAAGAGCUACUAAGGAAGCAAGGGGGUAACACUGAGAUUUGGCCAUGUGGAGAAAAUCCCAUCGAUGAAAAUACUCCAAAAAGUGUCAUCAGCUUGAAUCGAAUAUUUUCCCAAGAGGACUCCAGAGAAUUCAAUGGAAAUUCUCCUUUGAAUUCUCAAGUUCUUAAGCAGGCUGCUGAGAUAGAGAAUCUGAAGCAAGAGAAUGUGAAGUUGUCUGAAGAAAAGGAUGGGCUUGAAAUUCGAAGUCAAAAACUGGCAGAGGAAGCUGCAUACGCAAAAGAUCUGGCUGCAACUGCAGCAGUUGAGCUCCGGAACUUGGCUGAAGAAGUAACUAAGCUUUCUUAUGAAAAUGCGAAGCUGACUGGUGAUAUGGCUGCUGUGAAAGAGGUGCAUUGGGGAUCUAAUUGUUCUCAGAAGUCUGUUUCAUAUGAUUGCAAACAGAAGUCUAGUGCUAGAUCUGAUUCUGAUGGUCAUGCAAGAAGACAAGAGGAUUGUCUACUAAUUGAGGAUUUACAAAAAGAAUUCGAUGCGAGAUAUCAAAGAGAAUCAGCUCUAGAAGCCGCUAUAGCUGAGAAAGAUAAAAUGGAAUGUGAGCUACGGGAAAGACUUGGUGAAGCAAAACGGCAUGAAGAAGAUUUGGAAAAUGAGCUUGCCAAUAUGUGGGUGCUGGUUGCAAAGAUGAGAAUGUCCAGUUUCAAUGCUGAGGACAGAUCACCUGAAGGGGCCCUUGCACCCCACACUUCUCAAUCUGGACUUAAAAAUGGAUGUGUUCCAUAUAAUAGUCAUUCUAAUAGAAUACCCAAAUUUGAAAAAUCUGAAAACAUGGAUGAGAUAAGCACAUUAGAUGAGUUAAAAUUCAGUUUCCAGAAAGAACGAAGAAGAUGCAAGGAACUAGAAAGCAUUAUUUCACGAUUAAAGGGUGAAGAUAUUGAUGGUUUGGAUGUCAAAGCACUUGAGCAACUACAGAAUUUUCAUAUUGAGGCUAUAACAAAAAUUUCUCAUGCAAAGUGUGCAAAUCAUAUCUUAUAACAUUCAAUAACCUAGCGGGUUGAAUCUUGCCAUAUUGGAGUUUCUGACCUCUGAGGUGUAAUCAAAUUGUACAGUAACAGAAGUAACCCAAUUGAUGUAUGCUAGCUUCUCAUGCAACUUUCAGUAGAAGCUACAAUCACGGAGUAGCAUUAUUUUUCUUCUAAUCUUAAAUGCGUUAGCAAACUAGCCGCAGAAAUGAACCAAGGACAUCACUAUUAACUUUGUAACAAAUGCUUUGCAUGUGGUAUAAACCCAAUACAUCUAUUGUGAAGGAGAACAAACGUUUCGAAACAUAUGUGAUUGACAAAUGUAUGUAUCUGCUAUGUAUAAUGACAUCAAGCUAUUUAUUUUUGCAUGUCAUAUCUUGGUGCACUGUUCUCUUCAUCAAAAUUGACAAAAUAUUCCAAAAUAUGGCUCUUUCAAUUUUGACAGAAACAAAACUUAAUGGUAACACCCAUCUUUCGCCUCAUCACGUUUCACGUAUAUACUGUUCAUUGACUGUUUACUGUGACUUAUAGAAGGGAACUGACCAUCAGCAUAUGCUACUGUUAGAUCCAGCUCUGGAUUCUCUUACCAAUUAUUAUAUUGAUCUAGAAAUAAAUGAUUCGAAUACUAUUAAACUAAAUUUUAUAGAUAACUGUUAAAUUUCAUUUCGACACAUAACAAGGCAAUCACUACAGCAUAUUUACACAGGAAAACAAGGUAGAGGCAAGUACAGAAAAGUUUUGCUCUUUAAACCAGGAGUUCACCUAUGGUUUAAGGGAUCCUACUUGUACCACAGAAAUUGUUGGUUGAAUGAAUAUACUUUCUAAACUUGGAUUGUAAUACUGCCAUACCCCUUCUUCUUUGCUCCAAAAUUCUACGCUCCUUCCUAUCAUAAUUUGUCAAAACACAUCAAUAACAUGCAAAAUUAUUGCAGAGAAAAGAAUAGGUUCAUGAGAGUGAUUCUAACAAGAUGAAGAAUUGGAUCACGACAUUAUUAAUUUUUCAAAUCAACCAGAAAGGACGUUGGAUGUUCUCUAACAAUUGGAUCAAUUGGUCAGAUUCAAUUUUAAACACAGAAAGGACCAAUGAUUUUCAUCUGCUUUGAUGGGAAGAAAAAAGAUAAAGUGAAAUAUAGUUUUACAAGUUAAAAGAAAUUACCUGGAUAUGCAAACUUCAGGAAGAAAUUCAUGGAACAUUUUCCCAUUGUUGAUUUUCCCACUUGUUAUAUUCUUGCAGUAGUUGCUGCAGAAGCAACGUUACAAGCCUAUCCACUAAAGCCUGCAUCAUUCUGUAUUUCAUUGCACUUCCACCGUUUAUCAGGGGUUCUUAUGGCUCUGGCCAAAUAUAACAUUAAGCUCUAAAUUGUUUGAAUAAUUUACAUGCAUUCUUAGUGUUUUACAAAUUCUGUUAUGGAAAUUUCAGAUCAUGCUAAGACAGACAAAAGUUCAAUAGUGUUGGGAUAAUUUUAGAAUGACUUAAUUUCCUUAUCCAAAAUUCUAACAUCUGGAUCCAAUCUACCAGCUGAUUAUUUGGGAUACUGAAAGUGAAAAUAUUUGUUGAUUUAUAAGAUAUUAUGAAGCUUAAUACAUAUAUAGGGAUGGAGGUGACAGAAUGACAAGAUUAUGUGGAUAUGGAUGCCCACAUAAUCUUGAUCCACUCACUCCACUCAAAAGGUUAAGAGAUUUGUUUCCAGUGGUAAAACGGGAGGCUUAGUUACAGGCCUGAGUAGUGCCCCAAGCAUGCAUAGAUCAACACAUAAAGAAGUAAACUUUAAGAAAGAAAAACUGACAGCUGAGUCAUAAACUAUAUAAUAAUUGAAAACUCAGCAAGGAUAACUCACAAAUUUCCAGGACCCUCAACAGCAGAAGUUGGCAGCAAAGUAAACGGUGCUGUGAAAAUCUGCAGACGACAAGUGACCAUUUCAUAUGAUGUUAAUUGGUCAACAACUGGGAAAAAGGAAAUGCAAAUUCAACAAGUUAAUUUCACUGAAGCAUAAUAAUAAGAUGCCAGAAACAGCUAAUACAAUAUCUCAGUUUGAACCCAUGAGAAAUUAUAAUCUAGUUUUUAUACUGUGCUCACGUUCUCCCAGUUAUUUUAAUGCCCAAGAAUAGAUUUGAAAUAUUUAACUGAUCAGCAAAGAAGAGUUAUAUCCAGUCGUGAUUUUGCUAAACAGGAUCCAGGUAAUCUGAAAAACUCAUUGACUAUUUUUAUGUGACAUAGCUGGUGUUAAGCCCCUACCUUUCAUGACAGAAUCUACUGUUACACGAGGCAUCAACUACUGGUCCAAAAUAAAUAGUUAGGAAUAAAUUUGAAAAGCAGCCAACCCACAAAAUUAAUUAUGAAAUAAGGCAUAAUACUUCUUAGAAACUACCAAUGAUCUAAAGGUGGAAUACUAGCAACCUCAAGGAUGACAUUCAACUUCAUGUCGGCCUCUAAAAAGGGUUCAGAAUCAGUUGUGUUCCAUGUCACACGAUUCACCAUGAAAGCUG